CCUAUCCCCACUCCCUAGCAGUGCUUGGCGGGUCCACUUGGGAUCGCUUCACUGUUGCUGGCUCGUUCCUCCUUUGCCCCUCCACCUAGUGCAAUCAUCCUGUUAGCAUUGAUUCCGUGGCGGCAACUUGUGUGACAAUAUUAGCAAUAGAAAUUGGCUUGCUUGUGCCCUUGCGUGGCCCACCUGUCACCCCGUGUUGACACCUGGCCACUUGUCGGGCUCUUGGCAUGGGAUGUGGGCGGUGAUCGGUGGAGGCUUGGCCGCCACUCCAAAAACACAACAAACAUUCUACGUGACUACCAGCGUUGUGCCAAUGAUUCCGUCUUUUCCCCCAGUGAACAAUAACCCCAUGACAUUGCUUCAUUGCAUACUCCCGCGGCUUUGAUUGGCUCGCCAUCUCGCUUGUAACUUGAGGGGACGUUCAUAUCUGCAUCACUACCACCACCACCACCAUGGCUGUUGAUAUAUUACACACGAGGAACUUAUUCCUGCGCUGUAUGUGUGCAAUCUAUAUGUUUGCCUUUGGAUCCCUAUAUCUGCAAGUACCAGGGUUGUAUGGUGAGAAAGGCAUCCUUCCAGCCCACACUCAGCUGCCGAAUCUAAAAUACCCGAAGCAGUGCUUCUUCGACAAGCUGACAUUGCUCUGCUUCUCAUCUUAUGUGGGCCUCAAUGUUUCUUACAUGAUGGAGCUCCUCUCCCUUGCUGCAACUCUACUAAGCUUUAUAGGGAUGGUAUGGAAGUCUUGGUGCACAGCAACCCUCUUUCUGAUUUUGUGGGGCACGUAUCUUUCUCUCUAUCAAGUGGGGCAGACCUUCCUCUGGUUUCAGUGGGAUAUUCUUUUGCUGGAGCUUGGCUUCUUGACAAUACUUGUGGCUCCAGUGAGUCGUCGUAGCUGGUCAGAGUAUCGUCCCCGGAACCUGGUGACGAUGUGGCUGAUUCGCUGGGCCCUUUUCAGACUUAUGUUUGCCUCUGGUGUAGUAAAACUCCAGAGUGGCUGUCCAACAUGGUGGGGACUCACUGCACUUCCCCUACACUACGAGUCCCAGUGCAUCCCAACGCUCUUGGCCAGAUUCUUCUUCUUCCUUCCUGACUGGUGGCAUCGACUCUGUGUGGCUGCCACCUUUGUUAUUGAAAUUGCCAUACCAUUCAUGUUCUUCAGCCCAGUGAGACUGCAUAGAUUAUUCAGCUGUUAUAGCCAGAUUCUCCUUCAGGUCAUGAUUAUAUUCACUGGAAACUACAACUUUUUCAACCUGCUAACCAUCACCAUGUGUCUGUCCCUGAUGGAUGAUGUUCAUCUUGGCUAUCAGCAUGUGAAAGACCUUUCAUUUGGGUUCAUCUCGUAUGUGAAGGCAACUUGUAGCUGGACUGUCAAGUGGCUCGGCUUCAUAGCAUUGGCGUACUACACAGUAAUCUAUUUUAACCUUAGAAUCUCUCCUGAAGGCACCAUUGCUUCAAAAUUGGUGGUAUCACGGGCUGAGUUUGAUGCAUUUAUGUCUCGUGCUGUGCCAUUGAGCAUAGCCAUUGGUGCAUUCUCUCUGGUCAUCACUGUAGCAGAAGCUCUUACUUCGGCUUUGUUUGAAGUGCGGGGAUGCUUGGAUAAGUUUGGGGUGUUCAGCACAACUGCCAUCUACUCUGUUGCUGCAAUCUGCAUGUUUGGAAUCAGUCUGGUGCCAUACUCUGUUCUGGACCGACCUACAAAUCAGCGAGUUUGGCCUGUGUUUAGAAACCUGUAUGAGCACAGCUCAGACCUCCAGCUUACUUCUGCUUAUGGUCUUUUUCGGCGUAUGACUGGUGUUGGGGGAAGGCCAGAGGUCAUCCUUGAAGGGGCCAACUCUCUUGAGGGACCUUGGGUGGAGUACGAGUUUCCCUAUAAACCUGGGAGCCUUGACCGCAUGCCAGGAUUUGUUACUCCCCAUCAACCACGAGUAGAUUGGCAGAUGUGGUUUGCAGCUCUCGGCACCUAUAACCAGAACCCUUGGCUUAUCUCUUUGGCCCAUCGCCUGCUUUCUGGCCAACCUGAAGUAGUGGCUCUCCUUGAUCCAUCCUCUCCUUGGGUUGAUGCAUCACCCAAAUAUAUCAAGGCUUCCAAGUAUAUUUACCAGUAUACUACUUGGGAUGAAGGUAAGAAGUGUGAUUAAAUAAGUGUGAAGAAGGAUAUCCAUCAGUCAGUGCUCUGGCCACCCAGUCGCAGUGUUGGACUACAAGAGCAGAUGACCUGUAUUGUCCAUUAAGUCCUGAAUGCAGAGAUGGAUGGAUUGCCUCAACAACCACUGUUUAAUCAACCGCUGUCUUUUAGUUAUUGGUUCCCUUCUAUAGUGUACCAUUUUGAAUUCUACUCUAUGGAAAGGACUUUGUGAGAGGUGAACAUGGGACACAAGUGAAAGAAGACAAAGCUAAAAAGCCUUGUCUUUUACACUGUAGCCCACAUAACCACUACAUUACCUGGCAGCGGAAGGCAGAAUAGAAGGUGUCAAGAACAGCAGGUGAGACAAACUAUGGUAACUGGUUCUUUCAAACCCUCCCCACUGCUUUCAUUUCUUUUUAAACCUGUUUCUAUUAAUAGUAUUACUAAAAUCCCAUGAGCUACUACUAUGAUCAUUAAACUGACAUUAAUAAAAUUGUCUUACUUGUACUGCUCUGCGGUCAAUAUUUUCUUUCAGCUUCUUUGCCUCUUCCAACUGGUCAUGCAGCUUGUCUCUCUUGUUCUCCAGGAUUCGCUGUAAAAUUUACAUCUUGUUAAUACGUGAAGCUUAAUAAAUAAAUUUUAAAUUUUGAAAGAGUAAGAGGUAUUUUUGAAUUUCAUAGGAAUUGAUCAUGAAAGAUUUUAAAAGGCUGAUUUUAUUUAAUGGGUCAAACAAUAUUCCUAAGUGUUAUGAAACCCACCUUCUCUUCUAGAUCAAUAUCUUCCACCAUCAUCAGUGCAUUCUCUGCCCUGGCCAGCCUCCCUGAAAGCCCUAGCAGCAGAGAUGUGAUCUUGUCAAUCUCUUCCACAUGCAGCUUGUACUUUUCAGACUCUGCCAGCCUUGCCAUUGCUUCUACCCGUGAUGUCACCUCUGCACCCAAAUCGUGGUUAAGCCGCAUCUCAUCUUUGAUUGCCUCGUGCUCAGCUCUAAGGAUUUCUAGUUUACGACCGAUGCUUGCAACCAGCUCCUCCUGAAAGUAAUAAUAAUAAGAAUCUCUUGUUUUGGUUGAUGUUAAGCUUUUUCCAUUAUGUGUAUUAGAUUGGGCAGAUGAUAAAAAGGUGUACACUGUAUAAUUAUGAAAUACUAUUCACAUGCAAUGUUCUUAAGAGUUCUGCAUUUGCUUGCAAAUCUCAUGAAGAUGAUCCACUUCAGUAAUAUUGGGGAGGCUAUGAUAGCUUAUCUGUCUAUCACCAAUUAUCUGUUUAUAGUGCUCUAAGGAAAUGGGGAGGCCAUGAUAGCUUACCUGUCUAUUGCCAAUUAUCUGUUUAUAGUGCUCUAAGGAAAAGCACUGAGAUACAAAUUUACUGAGAUACAAAUUUUGAUGGUAAUUUUUGUGAGAAGUAUUUAAGACAAAGUUAUAGUGUCUGCAUAAUGUCAUGGCAGUGUUGAUGCUCCCACCAGGAGCUAGCAGUGUUUCAGCUGCUUGCAGGCAUCAAACAAGGGUGCUGCUGUUAUCCCUGCUGUGCACAAGCCUGCUUGAAUCUAUGCAAUUAAAGCUGGGUUUUGUGGCUUUGCUGGUUUGGCACAGCCUCUACCAGUCAAAAACAUAGACAAGAUAGCACAGACAGGAAUAUUAAGAAACCAAGGAAAUAAGCAAGCUGGUUGGUCUGGUAAAAAAGUGUGGCAGCAGUGUGUUUGUUAUCAGAGGCUUUGUCACCAGUGUCUAGUAAAAAAAACUUGGAAAACAUCUGUAAGGACUGUGAAUGUUGUAAAGUGUUGUUAUAUGGAGUCUAUUCUGUACAUGGCAGGCAACAUGACAUAUGAAGGAAGAAAAUCUUGAAUACUGGCAAACCAGUAUUUUCCACUAUGAUAUGAUUAAUCUGAUCACACUGUUGGUUUUUGCCAGAUCAAUCUGUUUGUUAAAUCCUUCACUUCACAGCCUGCCUCUUUCAGAACAAUUAUUGGGGCAACCUUGUAGGUGUGGUGGAGACCAUACUAGGCCAUAUUAGGAAAGCUGAAAAUGUCAGCUGUAACUCCAUAAAUGGAAAUAAGGUUGCCCACAACAGGGAUAAAAGAACCAACCUAUGACAACUAGCAAGCUGGCCAGCUCUAAUUUGCAUCCAUUGUAAGUGCCAAAAUUUCCACAGCAGCAACCAAUUAAUUUUAGGCAAAAUGUGAAAUAAGAUACUGAAAAGUAGUUGCAAAAACUAGUUUGCUUGCGUUGCUCGGGGUUUCCCAUUCUUAAUUGACACCUUCUAUCCUAGUAUGUAUGUAUAUUUUUUUGCAUUCUUGGUGGGAAUUUGCCUGUCCCUUUAUUUCUGUCUCUUCUCCUUCUGAUGGCAAUUUCCCAAUGUUAUCUGGUUGCAGGGGAUCAGCUAGCAACUUUCAAUUAUAUAUUUUCCUUUCAUGUCCAGAGAAAAUAGCUAAUGACUUGAAGAGAAUAUACAGCUGACUUUUCUUCAGGAACCUUGUUGGGUUUUCCUUCAAGCACCAAGGUCUUUCAGUAGCAGUUGUGCUAAGCAGACAUCAUACUAUAUACUAUAGGGAAAAAAAAUCAAUGGUAACUGAUAAAUAUGAAUUUUCACUUUAACACCACAAUGACUGGUGUAUUUAACUUAACAUUCACCAGCCAAAGAUGAUGUGUGGUUCCCAAGGCCUGGUAUGAUGACUAGUACAAGCAUGCUUAAGAGACCUUGUUGCCACAGACAAAGCUGUAAGAAGUACUUAGAGAACAGUCAGCUUAAUGUAACCUUUAGUCAAGGUGCUUGCCAUUGUUUACAGCAUCCCUCCCCUCAGCUUCACAACAGAGUAAAAAACUCAUGAAUUUUUGUUUGAUUCCCAGUCAUCUGAUAAUCUUGACAAUGCUGGGGAGAGGGGGAAAGAGGCUAAAUAAAAUUAAAAGGGAGUCCAUCAUGAAAAAAGACUGACAUUUAAGAGACUCCCUAGUAGAGGAAUUUGGAAAUCAUGUAAAAUCUUAAUCUGAGGUAUAUGAAAAUUACAGAGGAAACUGGUUGGUACUACAGUGGGUUCAGAGUAACGUGGGACUGUGUAGCUUGUAAUGUACAUAUGAGGAUUUAACGGGUACUAGACUGAUGUCCCAGCAAAUGGGCAAAGGGCCUCAUACAUUCUUUGUAACCAAUUUUUAACAUCCAUCUUGGCUUUGAGAUAUGAUAGAAACAAACCUGCAUAGGAUUCUUAAAGCAUACCUUUUUCUUCAUAAGCUGUUGAUCAGUCAAGCUUUCUUGUAAAUUUCCAGUACUUCCUCGCAGUCUGGUUAACAUCUUGGCUUUGCUUUCAGAGGUGGUAAAGUAAGCUGAGUCUGCUGGUAGUGGUGUUCUGUCAUGUGUCCUGAAAAAAAUGGUACAUAAUUAUUACUUCAUAAUAAUUGUGCUUGACUAUGCUCCUCUUGCCCAAUCAAUAUCUUCUCUUAUUUAUGUGAUGAGGUCUCUUUUAUUUGGUAGCAUUCUGUCUUCAACCAUAUUCUGAAAGUGCAAUCCUUCAGCCUAUUCUUCUCAUCAUUUACCUACAGAACUCCCACAAGGAGAUGGCUAUGAUAAAGUUUCCUAGGGCAGCCACCAGAUGCUUCACAUGAGAAUAGCCAAGAAACAUACUGCAACCAUAGCAAGUCUAAAAACAAGGAGGAGUUAUGCUGUCAUAUUAGCUAGUUAGGUUUUCACAUCAGCAUUCCCCUCAAACCAUAGUUACUUACACCAUGAGUAGAGAGCCAAUCACCACUCACCCACAGAAAGCCAGCUGUCCCAAAAGAAGCAAACUGACACUGAACCCUCACUUCUUCUGUAAGAGACCAUCUCAACAAAUCCACUGACCCACUUUAGAUCUUCUUACAGUGUCGAUAUAAUACAACCAACAUACCCAACAUAGCAACCACUUCCAAAAUUUUAAUAUAGGGAUCUUUCUCUUUAUUUUAUUAAGCUUCCCACUUGUCUCUCAUACAUUAGAGUUGGUUGGACCAGAAAUGCCUUCCUAUUUAGAGAAUGACGAGUAUAGUUGUGUAAGGUGUGCUCCCAACCUAUAAAGGGACUCAGAUAAAAGAAGAAACCCAAAAUCUGCUAUUCUGAUUGACAUUAUUACUGAAGUGUAAAGUGAUGUGUGUCUUUGAUAAUUAUUAAUUGUUUGAUGAUUUCCACUGAUUUUUCAAUAACUAGUCACAAUGAGAUUAGAUUAUUUCACUAGCCUGUAAAGAUUACAAGCUUUUAAUUUGGCAAUAAAUGAAGAAUACUCAAAUACUGUACAAAAGAAAAAAUCAGUUUGAUUCAAGGGAAGCUCUAGAUGUACAUCACACUUACAUCUCCACUCCAUUAGUGGUUUCAUUGUUGUUCUGAAUACUGCUGACAGAUUUAGGUGCUGCUGUCUGUGACAGUCCAACCUGGACCAGAUCGGGAUGUCUGGCAUGGCUGCUGGAGAUGAAAUCUUUACGGAGCUCCAGGCUGAACACUCCCUCCAUGUAAUGUGCAGUUGUCUUGUGCUCUGGUCCAGUGGC